rnacentral:rRNA from 1 species
AUUGAACGCUGGCGGCAGGCCUAACACAUGCAAGUCGAGCGGAUGACGGGAGCUUGCUCCUGGAUUCAGCGGCGGACGGGUGAGUAAUGCCUAGGAAUCUGCCUGUCAGUGGGGGACAACGGUUCGAAAGGAACGCUAAUACCGCAUACGUCCUACGGGAGAAAGCAGGUGCCCUUCGGGCCGGGCGCUAUCAGAUGAGCCUAGGUCGGAUUAGCUAGUUGGUGAGGUAAUGGCUCACCAAGGCGACGAUCCGUAACUGGUCUGAGAGGAUGAUCAGUCACACUGGAACUGAGACACGGUCCAGACUCCUACGGGAGGCAGCAGUGGGGAAUAUUGGACAAUGGGCGAAAGCCUGAUCCAGCCAUGCCGCGUGUGUGAAGAAGGUCUUCGGAUUGUAAAGCACUUUAAGUUGGGAGGAAGGGUUGUAGAUUAAUACUCUGCAAUUUCGACGUUACCGACAGAAUAAGCACCGGCUAACUCUGUGCCAGCAGCCGCAGUAAAAC